UGAGGAAUAUUGCGCAAUGGACGAAAGUCUGACGCAGCCAUGCCGCGUGAAGGAUUAAGGUCCUAUGGAUUGUAAACUUCUUUUGUAUGGGAAUAAACCCUCGUUCGUGAACGAGGCUGAAGGUACCAUAAGAAUAAGCACCGGCUAACUCCGUGCCAGCAGCCGCGGUAAUACGGAGGGUGCAAGCGUUAUCCGGAUUUAUUGGGUUUAAAGGGUCCGUAGGCGGACUAUUAAGUCAGUGGUGAAAGCCCUCUGCUCAACAGAGGAACUGCCAUUGAUACUGAUAGUCUUGAGUACGAGUGAAGCUGGCGGAAUGUGCAGUGUAGCGGUGAAAUGCUUAGAUAUUGCACAGAACACCAAUUGCGAAGGCAGCUGGCUAACUCGAAACUGACGCUGAGGGACGAAAGUGUGGGGAUCAAACAGG
rnacentral:rRNA from 1 species